GCGGUGGAUCACUCGGCUCGUGGGUCGAUGAAGAACGCAG
rnacentral:rRNA from 1 species